CAUUAGACAAUACACCCACAUCCCACCAUAAAUACUCCUCUCCCUCUACAGAUUUAUACACACAUACAAAACCCAUUCCAAAUACACAGAGAACUUCAUCUCUAUCAUUUCUCCUAAAGGAACACACAAGAUCACAACAUCUCUAUAAAUAAGGGGUGUUUCACCCAAUCUCUUUUCAUUCUCAACAUAUAUUCACUCAAACACUGAACCCAUAGACUUAAUGUCUGUCUUUCCUCUCUUUCUCGGUUACAACCACACAUAUAUGAGGCCCCCCCCCCCCCCCCCCCCCUAAUUUCUUCAACUUUACAAGAUAAAAAUCCAAACCAAACACCCUCUCAAUCCCUCUCUGCAAUACAAAAGAGAUUUCCAACUUUCAAAUCUCAUCCCCUCAACACCCCUCUAACUCUCUCUGGUCGAGCACCUGGCCGGCGACGGGUGACAAGCAACGACGGCCGGUCACCACUGAAGGUGACCCGGCGAUGAUCGACGAAAGAAGGUAGCGGCCGGCGAAGGACUUCCAGCGGCGCUGCCGCCGCUACGGCGGUGGUGGCGGUUGAAUUUUUCGGCGAACAAAAGGCACCCCCUCCUAAAUCAGACGUCCCGAAUUCAUUUCCGGCGUUGGUCUUUCGAUCGGAGCCAUGAAGGUGGUAGUUCAACAGAGGCAGCCGUGGUUCGAGUGUGUUAUUUCUCCGGGGUGUCGGCUGUCGACCGGCGUCAGAGUCACCGGCGGCACCGGUAACGACACAGCAGGCAAGUUGGAGUCUGGCUCAAGUUAAAUUAGUUUUAGUGGCACUUCGGGUCAGAUUCGGUUCAACAGUUUCGGGUUCGGUCAUGAGCAGGUCAAAGAUGGUCAAAAGUGGUCAGCCAGGUCGGUUCGGUUCGCGGUUCAUGGAUUCGGGUCUACUUGGGCAAACCAAGUCAACUCGGUUAACCCGAGUCAACUCAGUUGACUCGGUCAACUCAGUCAACUCAGCGAGUCAACUCGGUCAGCCCGGUUGACUCGGACAACUCAGCUUUCGAUACGAGAUUUUUGGUAAAGUUUUAACGGCGAACACAUUGAUUUUAUAUUGUCUUUAUAUUAUUACUUUGAAAACGAGCUCGAACCGAUUGGGAUUAGCAGUAGAUUACAUUUUAUCGUUCUUACAAAAUUA